CAGGUAAUGCCUUGGUUUGCCCAGCUCUUGGUAGAAUUUUGAACUGACAGCGGAUUACAUUGUGUCAUGAGGUGGGAAGGGCUGGGAAGGCAACAUCCACAUAUCCCCAUUAUGAUCUAGUCAUUGUUUCCAUUUCAAAGGAGCGAUAUAUUCAGCUCAGCACUUCCGUCUAUUUAAGAUAUGUUAGCUCCAUGAAUCAGAGUGAAUCUACAUAUUCCCAUUGUGAACCUGACAUUGAAAUAUACGUUUUCCAGUUUCAAUCUACUCACCUGUUAUGAGUGAAGCUUACCUUUAAAAAAAAAAAAAAAGGAGCAGAGAUAUUUAAUAUUCCCAAUAUUUGCUUUUGAUGAACUGAUACUUUUGAACUUUUAAAACUAUUUUAUGUCUUCUGUACUCACAGCUCGUAUACCCCCACAAGAGUGGAGAAGCCACAGGGAAAUACAACUGGAUCUUACUGUGAAAGGCAGGAUUAUGAGGUCUCGAUAUCAAGGCUGCCUAGAGGCUGGUAUAAAAAAAUGCUGAUGUCCACAUAACUUGUAACUCUUAAGUAAAUCAAACCUGUAAUUCAGCUUGGCUGCUUCUAAGUCAUUUUGAUUCCUGCCAACAGAACAUUAAUGAACUUAGCUUCUCCGCAAGUUUAUUCAUGUGUAAUACCCAAUUCCUUCUUCCUCGUUCCAGCAGUUGCCCCUGGUACAUCUGAUAAGGUGGAAAGCUAGACUAGGUCAUACAAAUCCAGGUCAUUACUUAAACCCAGAUUAUUAUAGACUGUUCUCUAAUUUUUCUGUCUGGUUUUAGAGUGGCAAACAGAAGAAAGUUUCUAGGGCUUGGGUUUGGAAAAAAAAUCCAUACACUAAUAAUUCUUGUCUUGAAGAAACAUUUUAUAAAAUUUAGCUUAUUCUAAUGCCUUUAUAUUUCCUACUUUUAUUCUCCUUUUGACAAUGAUAAAUAAUUCAAUUAUAUUGCAGUUUUGCUUUUGGAUCUUGGUUUACCUCCAUGGAUUUACAGUGAUGGGAAUAUUCUAGAACAAGUAGUCAUCUAGAUUUCCCCAAAUGCCCUGAGACUGAUAUAAGAAGCAUACUAAAAUGGACAUGAACCUAAUUUUUCGAAGUAUAAAAUAAUAUAAACCAGUUGUGACCAAACUUGCCUACAAAUUAGAAUUGCCUGGAGAUCUCUAAAAUGCCAAAGCCCGGGACAUAUCCCAAACCAAUUAAAUCACUAUUUCUCGAGGUGGGACACAGGCGUCAGGAGCGCUUUAACUCCCAGGAUGAUUCCUAUUUGUAGACAAGCUUAGGAACCACUGACCUAGACAACUGUGUUACUUGAGGAUUCUAAGUCGGCACAGCUGUGGCGUGUUCACUACCCAGCCCUGCCCUUGGCAUGAUGUUCUCUCCUAUCCAGCUUCUCCAUCAUCUUCCUCCACCUGAUUCGUAGAGACCUCUGGACAUCUGAGCCUAAGCAGGGCCACUAAAUGAGAGAGAAUCCCAUCACUGAAAAGCAACAAUGAAUAUAUUAAGGACCACAGGUGGGUGUAAAAUAGAUUUUUGCAAAUUUUGUGAAUUGUUAUUUGUUAUAUUUUUCCUGAUAACAAAAGUUUUAUGUCAAAGAUUUUUGUCUUCCAGUUUUAGUUUCUUAUGCAGUAGUUUUAGGAAACUCUGGUGUGCCAAGAUGAUAUUUUUUUUUCAUGCUUGGGUGAUUGUUUUAGAAUUCCUUCUUUGAGUUCAAGAACAUCUUUAAAAUAUCUAACUCAGGGGUAUUAUGUGUGUUGAGUGAGAAUUGUCUAUUUGCCUUCUUUAAAGAAACACAAUUUGACACAAAGAUAGGUAUUAAAAUUUUUAUUUUCUGUGUAUACACAGCACAUUAGUUAUUUAUUUAAGCAACCACUGGCUGUCCAAGAGAGAUAGAAGAAAUAUUGCAACUGAAGCUGCUAGAUGGUUAUGAUUAUCUGAAUAGGUGUGAUCUUGACUUUAGCGAAUUAACAGGUAAGCUUCUUACUAAUUUUAUUCUAUAAGUGAUUAUUGGGGGCAGAGGGUAGAAAAAAAGUGAGAAUACAUGUCUGUCUCAUGAUAAACAAAAGCCUGAGAUGUUACAGUUACUUACUAAAAUCACUUUUAUCAUAUGAAGAUUUUGGAUAAAUCAUUAUUAAGGAAACUAAGGACAGCUGUGGCAUGGAAUCAGCGGGCUUUCAGUUUGAAUCCCAGUUACUCACAAAUGUAAAGUGGUAUUUUCAUUCCUCUUUUGUUAAAAUGCUUUUUUUAAAUGUAGGAAGUUUACAUUUUGUCCUAGAUCACAUUGGCUUCUGUUCCCACAGGAAAUGUUAUAUGCUAUAUGUCAGUUUUCAUUUCAUUAAAAGUGAAAGUAAACAUGGUAUGCAUCAGCCAAACAGUAACUAAUCCCGACAUAAUUUCAGUAUUAAAUGAGGCUUGGAAUAUGUAUUUGAAUGGGCAUGAUAGUUUGGGAAACUCUAAUUCAGAGAUGUCCCACUUAUAACAGUGAUGUUGGAGAAUAGGGUUACCAGUUAUGGCCUAUAUUUGCUCUGUCAUAUCACGUUCUUACAGUAUGUAAUUAUAUUUGGAGAAAUAUCCUUUGAGCCAUAGUAUUUUGGAGUCAAGUAUUAGGCUAUAAUUUAGACAUUGUUUUAGUAGAAUAAAGUAACUUUAUAAGAUUGUUCCAGAUCUUUGUUCUAUAUCUCUGUCUUUUAUCCUUCCCCCUUGCAGAAGUCAUUCCUAUUUACCUUAUUUAAAAAACGAGAGAAAGUAUAACUCAGGCUGAAAUAAAGCACCAGACUAAAAAGAGAUGCCCAUUUUCAUUCAAUAUUUAUAUUUGCCAGAAUAAAGGGAGACAAAUAAUUAUUUUGCCUUUAAGGCCUUGAUUCUGGAUGAUAGAUUAAGUAGACAGACUGUUGACCACAUGUGACUUAAGGAAUAUUGUUAAUUAUUUUACCAAUCUUUGGAUCAAGGUUUGCUUGAAGUAAGUAAGCUGUGCUGUGGAUAAACCUUUGGAUGAUAAAGAGUGAGCUGUAUUGCCUUCAAUAUUGUUUGCAUCAGAACAUUACUAAGUGGUAUCGAUUUUGAAAAAUAAAAUUCAACUUUCUGAGAACAUAGACCAGAUUCAAGUAUUUUUAUCUUUUUUUCCCCCCUUUUUUCAGAGAAUGGAAUCUCUCCACGUUGCCCAAGCAGGUCUCGAACUCCUGUACUUGAGCUAUUCUCCCACCUCUGCCUCCCUAAGUGCUGGGAUUACAAGCGUGAGCCACUGUUCAUGGCCUUAGGGACUUUUAAAUGUUAAAUUGAUUUUGACCUACCCAGGAGCUAGAGAAUACCAAUGAUUACAGAGGGGAGAAUAAAAUUGCCGUAUAGAUUUUCUGUGCUCCUUUAGAAAAUCCAUUCUGGAGUAAAGAGAUGGGCAAUUGGUCAACUGAGUUUCUUUCUUGUAUAAUAUGUCAGAGUUUGAUAUUGUCAGUCUGUUAACCAAGAUUUUUAUUGGGAUAUUUGCUGAAAGAGGCUCUAAGAAUAUCCCAUCACCAGUAAUUAGAAUUUGUUACAGGUUUCAGUCAGGGUAGUUGAAAGGGAGCUAAUUUGGUAACACAAUAACCUAGUACCCAACUAAUUCAGGAGCAUGAAGAAAAAUUGGUUGAUUAAGGCUUAAGUCAGAUAAAUAAUACUAUAGGUUGACAUGGCUGGGUUAGCUCAGGUUUGUAUAUUUGUUUUUUCAAAGAGGCAGACUUUUCCUAAGAUUAGAAUCCACAGUAAUGAUGGAAGCAGGAAACUUAGGGGCAGGCCAUAGGUGUAAAAUCAAAGUUGAGCUGCUUCUGUGUUACAGCUGUAAGCACAGGAAGUUGCCCAUUUUUUUCAAGCACUAUUUCUGCAUAGUCAUAUAUCAGCUAGUGUUGUCAACAUAGACACAAGAGACAAUAGGAAUACGUACAUGCAAUUCCACCAUCAGCUAAAAAACCCACAUAAGUCUUUGAAGCUCUCAAAUAACACGCAUGACACUGAAUGGUACAUUUUGAUGCACUUUGAAACUCUUAUCUCUUUAGUUGGUAAGUACAUUUGAACACUUAAUAUGUGCUCAGCAGAAGAGAAGGAGAACAAGGGAAGUCUAAUAUAAAAUCAGGAUUUUUUCUUUUCUCUUUGAAGCCAAUUAGAAUGUGUGUAUGUGUGUGUGUGUGUGUGUGUGUGUGUGCGUGUGUGUGUGUGUGUGUGUGUAUUAUUUAGUGUAGUAAUCCUUGGGUUUUUUUUAAAAAAACGUGUUUUACUAUGAAGUGUAACAUACAAGAAAGUGAUAACAUAUGACAUAUACAGCUUACAAAUGGUUGUAAGAAUUAAUACACUUUGUAAGUGCCACCCAUGGUAAAAAUAAGUAGGUGGAGAAGGAGGAGAAGAAAAGAAGAAUUUAACUAGCAUGUCAGAAGUCUCAUGGAUCUCUUUCCAGUCACAACCCUCUCACCAAGCUCGAUUCCUAUUCCCUGAGUAAGUUCUAAUCUUACUUUUCUUUUUUUUUUUUUUUUUGAGAGAGAGUCUGACUCUGUCACCCAAGCUAGAGUGGUGCAAUCUCGGUUCACUGCAAUCUCUGCCU
rnacentral:lncRNA from 10 species